rnacentral:rRNA from 1 species
ACGACGCUGGCGGCGUGCCUAAUACAUGCAAGUCGAGCGCGGGAAGCGGACAAUCACCCUUCGGGGUGUGCGUCCGUGGAACGAGCGGCGGAUGGGUGAGUAUCACGUGGGCAACCUGCCUGUAAGAUUGGGAUAACUCGCGGAAACGUGAGCUAAUACCGAAUGAAGUCUUUCACCGCCUGGUGAAAGGAUGAAAGAUGGCUCUUGAGCUAUCACUUACAGAUGGGCCCGCGGCGCAUUAGCUAGUGGUGGGGUAAAGGCCUACCAAGGCGACGAUGCGUAGCGACCUGAGAGGGUGAUCGGCCACACUGGGACUGAGACACGGCCCAGACUCCUACGGGAGGCAGCAGUAGGGAAUCUUCCGCAAUGGACGAAAGUCUGACGGAGCAACGCCGCGUGAAGUGAUGAAGGUCUUCGGAUCGUAAAACUCUGUUGUCAGGGAAGAACAAGUUGUGUUCUAACAGGACAUGACCUUGACGGUACCUGACCAGAAAGCCCCGGCUAACUACGUGCCAGCCGCCGC